AAGAUAUUAGUUAAUAUAUAACACUGCCUUGUCAAGACAGAAUUAUGGGUUAAAACCCCAUAUAUCUUG